GCGUGUGUGCGUGUACUGCUAUGCUUGCGCACAUAUCACUGUGUGUGCUUUGAACACAACAGCAUACAUGUGAAAAUACACUAUUUACAUGCAGUAUGUCAACCACAAGCACGUGCACGUUUACAUGCAUGUGUAUCACAAUAUAUAUGUGCAUGCAUGAGUGUGUGUGUUCAGCAGCAUGUGUGAGUGUACUUCAGUGUAUGGGUGUGAAUAAGUACGUGUGCACCUUGUUGCCUAUUUCUAUGAAGCAUAUCGUGCAUGGGUGCAUACAGCCAGUACUGCACAUGUGGGUCACUGCAACACUCACUUUAAUCUUCAUUUUCAGAUUGUUUCCUUGAAGAGCACUGAGGGGCAGGAGUUGGGCUCCAGAGCUGAACAUGCUGAUGCUCUGAGGGGUGGUAAAAUCAGCCCAGGACGCACAUCACUUUCUGGGCUGUCAGAUGGGCCAAAUGGACAAUUACUGUCCUGUGGCUGGUUUGUGAUGUCCAGUCACCUUGCUGCUGCUUGCUUUGCGCUCCUGCAUCCACAGCAGAUGUCAAGCGACAACUCUGUGUGGGAGCUGCUGGACCACCAUGCUCCUGGGAGCCCUUGCCAACAAAGGUGGGUUGUAAGGUGACGACCAGUUUUGGCCAUCCCUGGGGAGAAGAGUGAAGAACAGCCCUUUGGUGUCGAAAUAGCAGCUCCCAAACGAGAGCUCGUGGUCUUUCAACCGUGCAGAAGACACCAUGGCCCGACUGUGGGAGCUCAGCUCAGUCUCCUGCCUGCCAACUGCAUCUCGGGCAAGGUUUUCCUUACCCGCAGCCAGCAUUUCUCACAACAUAGGCCCCAUGAAGGGCCCCAUAGUCAAAAAUACAAGCACAGAUACUGCCUAUGGCAGUUCCAAGCUAAAGUUGGCAGAAGUCAGGGGAAAACAGGAGCAGUACCUCCUAACUUCUCCCCGUACCACUGUCAGAGCCAGGAUCCUAGGGCAGAUGGGCCUUUGGGCUCUUGAAGGACACACAUUUUUAACCUCACUCCCGCCAAGGGAGAGGUGUUAGAAACCUGCUGAAGCCACAUGCCCCCCCUGAAACUCACUGAGGAUUUUUGCAGGACACUGGUCCUUUGCCCUGGUAAACAUCAACCACUGGAGAAGAGAAGACAGUAAAGUGGUUGUUUCUGCAGUCCUUGCCUCCUCCUGCGAUGCUGGGGCAAUGCUUCUCCCCCGGCAGCCUCCAGGUCCUGCAUGGGGCACUCUCCAUGUCCAAAUCCACCUCUCCUCUGAGUCAGUUGCCCAAGCCUGCUCUUUUUUGCUGUUCUCCAGCUCAUCUCCCCCAGCUCAUCUCCCUCCCUGACAUUCCCUUCAGUGCUGUUUCUUCUCUGAAAUGCCCUCAGCUGCAGCAGUAAGAUAAGGACAAGCAUUUGAAACAGAUGCAAAUGUCUUUCCUUCUGCUUUACUUUACAGCUGGUUGCCAGACACUCCUACUCCAGCCACUUCGAUAGACUGACGAUGGUGCCAAUGCCAUAGAAACCCCUGCCUGGCUGGAGAUUCACAUGCUGGCUUGCAUUUUGGUUGCUUCUUGCUCCGCAUCCCAGUCAGAUAUUUUCCUUUCCUUGUAUCAUCUCCUUGUAGAAAUGAGAUGAGGGAAGGAAGGCAAAAUGCUCUCAGCUCACCCAGCCCAUCUGUCCUCCACAUCAGUGCAGAACUCGUUAAAGGAGAGGAAAUAAUUAAACAGGAAAUAAAUAAAAACUGUGCUGGUCCUACUCACCACUUUACUGUUUAGCGGCAUUCCUCUAUAUUCUCUCUGCUCAGCUGUUAGUGCUGGUCCCACAUCAGCUGGAUCCAAAGCGAUCCUUUUUGUUGGCUGCUAUGGGGUUUGGAGCAUUAUAUAAAAACAAAAUUUAAGUCUGCAGUGAGCAGGAAUGCAAAACAAGAGCUGACCUUUGCACGGCUCCUUAAGGACUAAAAAGAAAAGCGUUCCCUCAGAAUUUGUGGCCUUCACCGCAUGUGCUGGCUUACACAGCGAGGGAGCCCCAGCUGCCUCUGUGGUGGUACCUCCCGUUCUGGAUGGAGCUGCUUCAGCACAUCCAUCUGCUGCUGACCCUCUGCCAGGCUUGGGCAACAACCAGGAGGGCACCACUUCCAGAACUUUUCUGGGUACGCAUCAAACAUUUCUCCUUUUAUCAUGGGUUUUUUAACAGUGGUUGUUGAGGUUCUUACCCCAUCCAGAUGCUGCAAAUCCAGAGCCCAUAAGCAUGGUGGCCAGGCUUAAAUCCUAGACACCUGAACUUAGAGGACUUCUGAACUGUCUAAAACCACAGCAAAAACUCCUAAUACAGUCACUUCCAUCAGCAGCUGUUUUAUUCCCUGUGUUUGCAGUGUUCAGGUACCAAAGGCCUAGCCAGAGCUUUAACUGGUUUGGAUCCACAAGAUCCACUAAACAAAGCUGGUGUUCUCCAUCCAGGUCCCAGAGGACCAGUGUCAUCAUCACAAGAGCCUUUACUGGACCAUCAGGCAGGGCAGGAAAAUGACCAUACUGCCAUUCCUCCUCAGAACCUCAUUUUAGGGGUGAAUCUUCAUCCUUGGCCCCACAUCUGAGAUUCUGCCAUCACUGUAGGGGUUUCCUGAGUGAGACGGUUCAAACGCAACUGAUAGACCAAUGCCACACGAAUUUCUCUAGUUCCUCCUUUGAAUCUUGGACUCCGCAAAGAAGGUAUCUUAUUAAAGAGGGCGGAUGCUUUAGCCCAGGAGCCAGGCAAUUUUUGAGGACUCCCAAAGGCAAAUGUCAAUGUCCAGGCUUAGAAACAUCUCCCUGGCACACCUAGGCCUGUGAUCAGCAGCCACGGCUGGGGAUCCACGUCUCUGCUCCACUGAGCCGUUACGGCUUCUGCCUUGGGAUGAAGGUCUGGGAGAGAUUCGCCAGCUCGCUGUGCUGAGACGCUCUCCACAGUAACAGAGAGACUCAUCUGUGCUCUGAUGUGAGUUGUGGGAGGGCCAGAAGCAUCCAAGCAAUUGAAGCCUGAUCCUCUCUUCCAAAGCAGACCUGACGGAGAUGACUGACUGCAUCUGGAUGGAGAGAAGAGGCUGUGGGGCUGCAAGCCACCAUGCUCAGACCAAAAUGGCUAGAAGGUGCCCUGCCUACAGCUCCAGCGCAGCCGUGACGGGGCUCCUAGCAGCAGACUCACACCCUACCAUGGGGCCUGACAUAGCUCUGGCUCAGCUCUGGAAGGCAAAAUGAUUGCAGUGGUUGGUCACUGUGCUAGCUCAUCUGGACCAAGGAAGACACAGACCUCCAAAGCCCAAGUCUGAAGGCCAUGGCAACACAGGACAUUUCUUACAGCAAAUCUGGUUGUACCAUGGAGGCCAUGGCAGUGUGUUGACAUUCAUUGCCUCCCCAACCUGUCUCCACAGAGCUAGGGAGGCUAUAUCAGAAAAGGGGGAAAAGGCCUUCAUCUCGUCUCAAAGCGUUAAUGACGAUAGCCAGGCCCUUCUUGGCCUCCAGGCACCAAAGCAUGGCAUCUCACAUGGGUUUUGAUAACCACCUUAUAUGCAGCAUGUUGAUAUCUACUCAGUACCCUAUGCGAAGAUCACAGAUGAGGCCAGCAAACACCAUACUUAGACAAGGAAGAGCAGUUGUGACAGCAGGUUUUUGUUUCAGUCUUCAGUAUUAAGAAGACUGGAAAAGUAUCCAGGCUGGGUCCUCGAAAGUCUCCCCAGGCCUUUGCAGACCUGUGAAGGGGCUGAACGCUGCAUUCACAGCUCCAGGGCAAUCAUCUCACAUCACACCCACCUGCCUGGGAUAAGCUGCCAAGCUGAAACAGUCAUAGCCUGUUAGCAUAAAAACAAAUACCAAACAGCAAGCAAAGUCCUUACCAUUCCCUCUGAUAAAGACAGGCAGCAAUGUUGCCUCCAGGGGCUCUGGCUUCACCUGGAGUCAACUUGGGACGUGGAAAAUUCCUGAAAAGAGUUAUUUGCUCAGCAAACUCUCUCAAUUAGAGGGUGGCAUGUCUCCUUGGGUAUGUUCACACUCCUCUGAGCACUUGAGGUGAGUGUCUUACCAAGUUCAAGCCCAUCAGUAAAACCACACCAAUGUUCUGACAAAUGAGCACUAGCAAAUCCAGCAGUUUAGAUCUUACUGUCUCUGCCUUCAUUUCUUUCUCUGCUGCUAGAAGUUGCCUCUCCCAAAGCAGAAAGGGCAGAGAGGGGACACACGCACCCCUCAUACAUCCGCUGCCCCAGCGUACAGACUGGCAUGAAGGCAGGCUGGUGCUGAUUUGCUGACCUGUGACUGGCUUUGCUGUGGGCAACAGCUUCUUGAAAAGGAGUAGAAAUAAAUUAUCCAGAUGUCUCCCAGAGAUGCUGUGGGAUCUCCACCCUUGUAGGUGUUCAAGACUCAACUAGACACAGCUCUGAGAAACCCGAUUUAAUUAGACCUUCACUGAGCAAGGUGUAGGACUGUAUGAGCUCCAGAGGUCCCUUCCAAGCUCAAUUAUUCUGUGAUUUUAAAUUGCUGUUGUGAUCUGUACUAAUAAACUAACUACUACUA